AUUGAACGCUGGCGGCAGGCCUAACACAUGCAAGUCGAACGAGUGGCGGACGGGUGAGUAAUGUCUGGGAAACUGCCCGAUGGAGGGGGCUAACUACUGGAAACGGUAGCUAAUACCGCAUACCAUCGGAUGUGCCCAGAUUGGAUUAGCUAGUUGGUGGGGUAACGGCUCACCUAGGCGACGAUCCCUAGCUGGUCUGAGAGGAUGACCAGCCACACUGGAACGGAGACACGGUCCAGACUCCUACGGGAGGCAGCAGUGGGGAAUAUUGCACAAUGGGCGAAAGCCUGAUGCAGCCAUGCCGCGUGAAUGAAGAAGGCCUUCGGGUUGUAAAGUACUGUCGUCGAGGAGGCGGUACUCAAAGAGGAAGCAACGGCUAACUCCGUGCCAGCAGCCGCGGUAAUAC
rnacentral:rRNA from 1 species